rnacentral:rRNA from 1 species
UGGUGGAGUGAUUUGUCUGCUUAAUUGCGAUAACGAACGAGACCUCGGCCCUUAAAUAGCCCGGUCCGCGUUUGCGGGCCGCUGGCUUCUUAGAGGGACUAUCGGCUCAAGCCGAUGGAAGUUUGAGGCAAUAACA